GACGAACGCUGGCGGCGUGCUUAACACAUGCAAGUCGAACGGAAAGGCCCUGCUUGCAGGGUCCUCGAGUGGCGAACGGGUGAGUAACACGUGGGUGAUCUGCCCUGCACUUCGGGAUAAGCCUGGGAAACUGGGUCUAAUACCGGAUAGGAGCCAUUUUUAGUGUGAUGGUUGGAAAGUUUUUUCGGUGUAGGAUGAGCUCGCGGCCUAUCAGCUUGUUGGUGGGGUAAUGGCCUACCAAGGCGGCGACGGGUAGCCGGCCUGAGAGGGUGGACGGCCACAUUGGGACUGAGAUACGGCCCAGACUCCUACGGGAGGCAGCAGUGGGGAAUAUUGCACAAUGGGCGCAAGCCUGAUGCAGCGACGCCGCGUGGGGGAUGACGGCCUUCGGGUUGUAAACUCCUUUCGCUAGGGACGAAGCUUUUUGUGACGGUACCUAGAUAAGAAGCACCGGCUAACUACGU
rnacentral:rRNA from 1 species